rnacentral:lncRNA from 10 species
GUUUGAAUGCCAGUCUCCAGGAACAGCAGAGAAUGAGUUUCACUCCUAAGCCCAGCGAGAGGAACGAACAACUCCGACGCGCUGCCUUAAGAGCUGUAACACUCACUGCCAAGGUCUGCAGCUUCCCUCGUGAGCCAGCGAGACGGCGAACCCACCAGAAGGAAGAAACUCCGGACACAUCUGAACAUCAGAAGGGACAGACUCCAGACGCGCCACCUUAAGAGCUGUAACACUCACCGCGAGGGUCCACGGCUUCAUUCUUGAAGUCAGUGAGACCAAGAACCCACCAAUUCCGGAGACACUAGGUUUACAGGCAUGAGCCACUGCGACGAGCCUGGUGUUAAAUAAUUUCUAAUGCUAAAGGAAAGCUUGCUUUUUGCUGGUCACUGUUCUAAUUUUUUCCAUCUAUGAAAUCCGCCAUGAAUAUAAUUUCAUCAAACCAUUUUUCUGUCACUUAGAAAACGCAAUCAUUCAUUUCUGAAAUACCCAAUAAAUUCUUUAGUUGAAAUAGAGUGUAAAAUAGCUUAUACUAUCAACAAAGAGUUUUUUGCCAGCCGUUACCCAAAUAAUGUGGCUCUCACUUUUUUUUUUUUUUUUUUUAAAGACAGGGUCUCACUCUGUCAUCCAGGUUGGAGUGCAGUGGCAUGAUCAUGGCUCACUGCAACCUUGACCUCUGGGGCUCUAGCAAUCCCCCACACUCACCUCUUGAGGAGCUGGGACUACAAGUGUUUGCCACCACACACACCCGGCUGAUUUUUUAACUUUUUUGUAGAGAUAAGGGAGGUCUCACGUUUUCCAGACUGGUCUGGAACUCCUGGCUUCAAAGGAUCCUCCCACCUCGGCCUCCCAAAGUGCUGGGAUUAGAGGUGUGAGCCGCUGUGCCAGGCUGGCUUUAAUUAUUUCAAAGGACAUUUGUGCAUGUCAGAGAAUGUAUCAUCACAUAUAUGCCUUUAUUUUUUGUGUCCUAACAAUUUCUUCAUCUUUUGGCGUUUCAUUUCUUUGCUUUCAUUUAUAUGAAUUUGUUUCAUUUAUAUGAAUUCGUGGAAGUUUAUUUAACAACAUCACUCCUUUCUAGCAUAGUAUAUAAAUAAAAGAUGAGAUUUUAUCUGCAGGUUCAAUGUAUGUUGCUUAAUGUGUAGUUUUAAAUAUUUUGAAGAAUUGUGUAUAUUAAUCAUGUACUUGAUUCAUAUGUGAAAAGUGUUGAAGCAAAACAUGCUUUUAAAAUGUUGCUAUGCCCAGAAACAACUACUACUUAAUAAAUAUUAGAGGGUAGAUAUAGUGUAAUUGUUAUAAAAUGUUAUAAAAGUAACAAAAUACUGUUUAUUAAGUAGUAAAAGCACACUACUGGGGCAUAUUGACGAUCUCUUCUAAUAGAAAAGACCAGGUCAUCUCACUUCUAAAAAAUUUUCUCUUCAAUGUCCAAUAUUACAUUUUUCUCUAUAGUUUUUAUUUAACUGAAUUCUACUUGGAAUUUCUUUACUUAAUAGUUUCUUAUGUUCAAGCUCAUUAUAGAAAUUAUAUACAAAAUGAUAUAUAUUUUAUUAUCUAAAAUAAAAUUAGUUUCCCCUUUUCGGAUAUUACUUAUUUAUUUACUGAAACUAAUUUUUUUUAAUUACUGGUGUUUUAAAUUCAUAAAAUUAAUAAAAUAAAAGGAUGGUUAAAGAAAUCAUGAUAUUCAUAAAUCACUUUUUAACAUAAUGCUGUUUUAAUAAGAAUGAGUUUAUAAAUUGAAAUUGUCUGUGGAAAGGAAUAAUACAAUUCUUAAGAUCCCUUAGUAUAUUUUACUGAUUUUUUUUCUAUUUCUUAAUAAAUCAAUAUGGGAAACAAAAGGAGAAACUAAUGUUGUUUAUCACCUUUCAUUAGUCAAACAAAAUAUUUUCCCCUAAAAACUUUUAGGGAAAAUUGCAAAUUUAGGUUGUACUAGAAAAUUCAUUUUAAUAUAAUGACUGGUUAGAUUUGUUAAAUAAAUACAAGAUUUUGCUAUAUAUAUUUUGAAUAUGAGAAUGGUUUAGUAAUUAUUAUCAUGUACAAAGUGGAUGUUAUGCUGUUUUUCUAAGGUACAAAAUAAAACCUACUGUGCAACAAUUUUAGCAUAAAAGAUCUAGUUUGAUGUCAUUUCUUUAUGGCUUAAUUAGAUCAGAAUUUUAGGACUCAUGGGAAAAUGUAUUACAGGACUUUCAAAGCAAAAAAGAUUCAAUCAUAGUAUUUAUAAAUUAGAACAAGCCUUGGAGAGUAUUUACCUACUUCUAUACCACACUUUUCUAGAAGAGAGUAGAUAUAAUGUAAUCAUUAUAAAAUGUUAUUUAAAAUAACAAAAUAAUUUGCUAUUUAUUAAGUACCUUUAGUCUGCUGCAGGGGCAUGGUGAUAAUCAACAAAUAAUUACAAAAUAUUUUUAGUAAUGUGAUAAAUUGUUAGCUUCCACUUACUAUGGUAUUCCUGUAAUUGUUGAUGUAUACUCUAUGGCAUCUUCAGGUACGAUUUCUGUAUCUGAUAAAAGAACAUUUCACAAAGUGGUUUUCUGAUGUGGUGUUUUCCAUGACAGCAUUUAUUAAAGGACAUGAAUUGGUUAUUAAUGGCUGCCGACCACUAUAUUUUUCCAUUGUUUAAAAAUGACUGCUCACAGUAUUGGCAAAAACUUUGCCCAGGUACAUUAUGUCCUCAAGGCCCAUCCCCUUAUAUUCCUCUCUCAACAGCAGCAACAUUUGAAAGACUCUUGGUGCAGUUUGUCUUUCCAGCUGUGAGCCUAAAAGCUGUAAGUGCUAUUGGAGGAACAGACAGUUAAAUGGGAAGAAAAGAGACUGAGAAAGAAAGAUGCCCAGUGCUGAGGAUCCUGGUGUGCUACUUGUUUUUCUGCCUCCCAUACCCAAUUGUCACCAUUUAUAUGAAAUUCAUUAACCAACUGGGAACUCAGUGGUCAUGACAGCUGCAAUGUCUUUUAAAUAAAAUGCUUCCUUGAUGAUGCCAUGUCUGCAGUAUGGUACAGCUGCACCCACCACAGAACAAAUAUAUUCAUUUGUCCACUGAUAAAGUCAUUUGUUUCUUCCUUGCAGUAGCAGCAAUUUUUCUCUUCAAAAAUAAAGCAAAAUCUCUUAAGAUACAGCUCUUGAACAAUAGUCACAUCUAUCUCUUUAAAGCCAAGAGUCAGUCUCAAUGUUGCUAAGUUCAUUUUCAGCUUUCUUUAGAGGAAGGUUACUGUUAGUAGUAUAACCAAACAAAUGAUAUCAUCUGCUGAAUUGUGAGUCUUAAAUUUUUCAAAUGAAAAGUGCAAUGAAAAGUCCUACCAUCUCCAUUCUCAGCCUCAUACUUACAUAUACUUUGUAAAGUUCUAUAUGUUGAAUUAAAUAAUUUCCAUGAUCACCAUUAUUUAUUUCUGUGGCUGCAUUGCAUUGCAAACUUCAAAUUAACAAGAUUAAUGCCAAAAGAUGACACAACAGUAAGUGUUUGAUACCAUA